UAGUAACGGCGAGUGAAGCGGUAACAGCUCAAAUUUGAAAUCUGGCUCCCUGCGGAGUCCGAGUUGUAAUUUGUAGAAGAUGCUUUGGGUGCACGAUCCGGCCUAAGUGCCUUGGAACAGGACGUCAUAGAGGGUGAGAAUCCCGUAUGCGGCCGGUAUCGACGCCCAUGUAAAGCUCUUUCGACGAGUCGAGUUGUUUGGGAAUGCAGCUCAAAAUGGGUGGUAAAUUUCAUCUAAAGCUAAAUAUGGGCCAGAGACCGAUAGCGCACAAGUAGAGUGAUCGAAAGAUGAAAAGCACUUUGGAAAGAGAGUUAAACAGUACGUGAAAUUGUUGAAAGGGAAGCGCUUGCAACCAGACUUGGGCGUCGCUGAUCAUCCAAAGUUCUCUUUGGUGCACUCGACGACGCACAGGCCAGCAUCGGUUGGGGUGGUGGGAGAAAGACUGCAGGAACGUAGCUCUUUUCGGAGAGUGUUAUAGCCUGCGGUGCAAUACCGCCUACCUCGACCGAGGACCGCGCUUCGGCUAGGAUGCUGGCGUAAUGGUUGUAAGCGACCCGUCUUGAAACACGGACCAAGGAGUCUAACAUCUAUGCGAGUGUUUGGGUGCGAAACCCAUGCGCGAAAUGAAAGUGAACGUAGGUGAGAACCCUUUGAGGGGGCAUCAUCGACCGAUCCUGAUGUCUUCGGAUGGAUUUGAGUAAGAGCAUAGCUGUUGGGA
rnacentral:rRNA from 1 species